UUCUCUCUCAGUUCUACUGGUCAUUUCUUCUUCACUGGAUUACCUGCUGCAGACCUGUCACCUUAACUGCCCCCUCAUCAGAGCACAACAGAGUGUUGACAUGUCACUAGUGGAAAACACCGACCAAUGCAACCAACUGUCACUGGGGAAAAGGCAAAGACUGGUUUUACAGUGCAGACACUGCAGAGCCAGUAAGACUGCUUAGGUUUCAAAGUACAUCCUACUUUCUAUGUAUAUACAUACUCAGGUGUGACCUUUAAAACCCCUUUAGAGCAACACCUCUCUUUCCUUCCUAUCACCUGCAGCUUCUUCCACCCCUCCUUCUUAUUCUCUCGCCUUCCCUGCCCAAUCGUUUCAUCUCUGCAGUCUCAUACACAGACACUGUUAAAGCAGCACCAGUUAGAUUCCAACAAGCGUAGUGUGUGGGUGGAGCAGUUUACUUUCACCUGUGCUGUCCUGUUUUUAGGGGAAUCACUCCCUGAUGCUUUGAUGAGAAAGAAGCACUCUUUAUGAUUCUGAAGACACUAAACCUUCCAUGAUGUCCUGCCUGUGGCUGUGUUUGAGUCUGCUCUGUGCUGCUACUUUUCUACAAAGCAGUGCUUGGUCACAUGAAGUUGUGUCAGUGAUGUGCAACAAGACAAUGAACGUUGUAGCUGCACAAACAGUGACACUGAACUGCACUAUAGACACCAAGAACUGCACAGGCGUACGCUAUCACUGGAAUAACGCACAAGGUGACAUACAAUGUAGCAAUAGCUCGAAAUACAGAUGUGAAUGGGAUUGUCUGACUUAUGUGUCGUUGACCAUCUCAAAUGUCACGGAAGAGGAAAACUACACCAUUCGUAUACAGACAGACUGUGGUGUGACUAAACCAUCCACUACGGAAGUGCAAGUCAUCAAGUCCUCCAGCAUAACCAGUGAAGGUGGGAAGCAAGAUGAAACAGAAACCAUGCCAAUACUCCUUCCUAUAUUGGGUAUUGUCAUUGCCCUCGCCGUCAUCGCUUUGGGUGUUCUGUAUUUGACAAGGAAAAGACUCCAGAAGACGACACUGACAAAGGACACUGGGCAGAGGAGUGGAGAAUUGCUGAUUGUAUGACAAAUCAGAAUAAGUGCUUCAACAUAUGUGUGUAUGUGUGUGGUGGUGGGGGUGGAGAGGAGGGUUACAUUUUUUUUUCUUCCAGAAUUCUUU